AUAGUUACCUGGCAAGGGAGAUACCAUGAUCACAAAGGUGGUUUUUCAGGGUGAGUCUUACCCACUAGGAUAAGACUCCAAAUGUGCUGACCUGUGAUUUCCCCAAAUGUGGGAAACUCCACCGCAUAAUUUGUGGUAGUAGGGAACUGCAUUUGUGAUUUCCCCUG
rnacentral:snRNA from 1 species